UACGGGAGGCAGCAGUGGGGAAUUUUGGACAAUGGGCGCAAGCCUGAUCCAGCCAUGCCGCGUGUCUGAAGAAGGCCUUCGGGUUGUAAAGGACUUUUGUCCGGGAGCAAAUCCCAGUGGUUAAUACCUACUGGGGCUGAGAGUACCGGAAGAAUAAGCACCGGCUAACUACGUGCCAGCAGCCGCGGUAAUACGUAGGGUGCAAGCGUUAAUCGGAAUUACUGGGCGUAAAGCGUGCGCAGGCGGUUGUGCAAGUCUGAUGUGAAAGCCCCGGGCUUAACCUGGGAACGGCAUUGGAGACUGCACGACUAGAGUGCGUCAGAGGGGGGUAGAAUUCCGCGUGUAGCAGUGAAAUGCGUAGAGAUGCGGAGGAAUACCGAUGGCGAAGGCAGCCCCCUGGGAUGACACUGACGCUCAUGCACGAAAGCGUGGGGAGCAAACAGGAUUAGAUACCCUGGUAGUCCACGCCCUAAACGAUGUCAACUAGCUGUUGGGGAUUUGAAUCCUUGGUAGUGUAUCUAACGCGGAAGUUGCCGCCU
rnacentral:rRNA from 1 species